UUCUCGGUAGUAGAGGGGUUAGUAUGCAAGCUUGUCAUGUCGACUCGCUUGAGACCCGGGUUCGAUUCCCGGCCGGGAAG
rnacentral:tRNA from 1 species